AAAUAUGAUUUUUAUAAGUUUAAAAAUGGUUUUGAAUGAAUGAUGAAAUUAAAAGAAAACAAAUUUGCAUUAUUAACAAAUGAAACUAUGAGUAUAAUAAAGGCAUAAACAUAAAAAGAAAUGAAAAUGCUAAAAGAAAAUAAAAAAGCUAAAAGAAAUAAAAUGCCAAAAAAAUGCUACACAUAAGUAUUGAACCCACCCCACUCAAGACUAUGAUACUACCCCUCUCCACCAAACCACUCAUGGUUAUUUAUUAUUUGAUGUUACUUUAAAUAUAUAAAUCAAAAUAGAUUAAACAUUAGAAUAAAAACUAAAAUAAAAAAAAGUCUGUUGGACUACCAGUAGUUAAACCCAGCCGCUUGGCUGUUGGGUUAUCAAUGGGGAAUAAGUUGGAAAUAGAAAAAACAAUUAUUACCUAAUAUCCUAGGAAUUUUAAACUUUCAAAACUUAUUCUGUUAAAAAAAAAAUUAAAGAAAAGAAAUAAAAAGAUGGGAUAGUAACAGAGGCCUUGUGAAAUCGCCCUCUCUUUCUCACGAAUCUCCCUUCCCUCAAUCGCUACCAGCAAGCUCUCUCCCUCGCUCUUUCUUGAAAUCGCUCCCUCACCGCUCUCUCAAUCUCCAAUCUCACUCAAUCGCUCUCUCUUUUCUCUCAGUAUCGCUCUCAAAAGUUCCCAAUCAGUGUCGUUCCCAAUCGCUCGCGCCUCGCUCAAACACACCGGGACAUGCAAGAACUCGUGGAUGGGAUAAAAUAGAGCUCACCUUCGGCGGUGAUGACGUUGAUGAAGCUUCGAACUCCUCCAACUCUUCAACCAGGUUUUCUUUGAUUUUUAGGUUAGGGUUUUUUGUAUUUGAAAAUUUCUUCGCCGUUUUUUCUCCUCUCUUCUGAUUCGCUUUCGCUCACUAUUUAUAUCUCCUGAUUUAGGGUUUCAAAGAUGCCUUUGGUAUUCCAGAAGAGUAACUCUGCAAAGCACUUUGGAUGUUCAGAAAUUGGAUUGACC
rnacentral:lncRNA from 1 species